CACGUAGGGCGCAAGCGUUGUCCGGAAUUAUUGGGCGUAAAGAGCUCGUAGGCGGUCUGCUACGUCCGCUGUGAAAACCUAGGGCUUAACCCUGGGCUUGCAGCUGAUACGGGCAGGCUUGAGUUCGGUAGGGGAGACUGGAAUUCCGUGGUGUAGCGGUGAAAUGCGCAGAUAUCAGGAGGAACACCAAUGGCGAAGGCAGCUCGCUGGGACGGUACUGACGCUGAGACGCGAAAGCGUGGGGAGCAAACAGG
rnacentral:rRNA from 1 species